GACGUAGGGCGCGAGCGUUGUCCGGAUUUAUUGGGCGUAAAGAGCUCGUAGGCGGCUCAUUGCGUCAACCGUGAAAACCAGCAGCUCAACUGUUGGCUUGCGGUUGAUACGGGUGGGCUGGAGUUCGGUAGGGGAGACUGGAAUUCCUGGUGUAGCGGUGAAAUGCGCAGAUAUCAGGAGGAGCACCGGUGGCGAAGGCGGGUCUCUGGGCCGAUACUGACGCUGAGGAGCGAAAGCGUGGGGAGCGAACAGG
rnacentral:rRNA from 1 species